GGGAAUUAAUUUCGAAUUACUAGUUUCACUGAGCUGGCUGUUAUCACUUUGGUUGGAAAGUCUCUUGCAGAAGAUGGAUGAGCCCUGAGAUGAAAGUUCAGUCCUACACCUGAAGGAAGACGGUUUCAUUAUAGUUGCCAGAUAAUGAUGUUAUGCCCAGGAUCCAGUGAGGUAUGUUAAGAUAAGAUUGUGUAUAUGUUUGUAUGCCUUUUUGUCCAAAUUUCCUCUAGGUGGCGUCCAAAGGAUCACAAGGACAGGUAUGUUAAGAUAAGAUUGUGUAUAUGUUUGUAUGCCUUUUUGUCCAAAUUUCCUCUAGGUGGCGUCCAAAGGAUCGCAAGGACAGGUAUGUUAAGAUAAGAUUGUGUAUUAUUUGUAUGCCUUUUCGUCCAAAUUUCCUCUAGGUGGGGUCCAAAGGAUCUCAAGGACAGGUAUGUUAAGAUAAGAUUGUGUAUUAUUUGUAUGCCUUUUCAUCCAAAUUUCCUCUAGGUGGCGUCCAAAGGAUCACAAGGACAGGUAUGUUAAGAUAAGAUUGUGUAUUAUUUGUAUGCCUUUUCGUCCAAAUUUCCUCUAGGUGGGGUCCAAAAGAUCCCAAGGACAGGUAUGUUAAGAUAAGAUUGUGUAUUAUUCGUAUGCCUUUUUGUCCAAAUUUCCUCUAGGUGGGGUCCAAAGGAUCGCAAGGACAGGUAUGUUAAGAUAAGAUUGCGUAUUAUUUGUAUGCCUUUUCGUCCAAAUUUCCUCUAGGUGGCGUCCAAAGGAUCGCAAGGACAGGUAUGUUAAGAUAAGAUUGUGUAUUAUUUGUAUGCGUUUUCGUCCAAAUUUCCUCUAGGUGGGGUCCAAAGGAUCGCAAGGACAGGUAUGUUAAGAUAAGAUUGUGUAUAUGUUUUAAUGCCUUUUUGUCCAAAUUUCCUCUAGGUGGCGUCCAAAGGAUCUCAAGGACAGGUAUGUUAAGAUAAGAUUGUGUAUUAUUUGUAUGCCUUUUCGUCCAAAUUUCCUCUAGGUGGCGUCCAAAGGAUCGCAAGGACAGGUAUGUUAAGAUAAGAUUGUGUAUUAUUUGUAUGCCUUUUCGUCCAAAUUUCCUCUAGGUGGGGUCCAAAGGAUCUCAAGGACAGGUAUGUUAAGAUAAGAUUGUGUAUUAUUUGUAUGCCUUUUCAUCCAAAUUUCCUCUAGGUGGCGUCCAAAGGAUCACAAGGACAGGUAUGUUAAGAUAAGAUUGUGUAUUAUUUGUAUGCCUUUUCGUCCAAAUUUCCUCUAGGUGGGGUCCAAAAGAUCCCAAGGACAGGUAUGUUAAGAUAAGAUUGUGUAUUAUUCGUAUGCCUUUUUGUCCAAAUUUCCUCUAGGUGGGGUCCAAAGGAUCGCAAGGACAGGUAUGUUAAGAUAAGAUUGCGUAUUAUUUGUAUGCCUUUUCGUCCAAAUUUCCUCUAGGUGGCGUCCAAAGGAUCGCAAGGACAGGUAUGUUAAGAUAAGAUUGUGUAUUAUUUGUAUGCGUUUUCGUCCAAAUUUCCUCUAGGUGGGGUCCAAAGGAUCGCAAGGACAGGUAUGUUAAGAUAAGAUUGUGUAUAUGUUUUAAUGCCUUUUUGUCCAAAUUUCCUCUAGGUGGCGUCCAAAGGAUCUCAAGGACAGGUAUGUUAAGAUAAGAUUGUGUAUUAUUUGUAUGCCUUUUCGUCCAAAUUUCCUCUAGGUGGCGUCCAAAGGAUCGCAAGGACAGGUAUGUUAAGAUAAGAUUGUGUAUUAUUUGUAUGACUUUUCCUCCAAAUUUCCUCUAGGUGGCAUCCAAAGGAUCGCAAGGACAGGUAUGUUAAGAUAAGAAUGUGUAUUAUUUGUAUGCCUUUUCGUCCAAAUUUCCUCUAGGUGGGGUCCAAAGGAUCGCAAGGACAGGUAUGUUAAGAUAAGAUUGCGUAUUAUUUGUAUGCCUUUUCGUCCAAAUUUCCUCUAGGUGGCGUCCAAAGGAUCGCAAGGACAGGUAUGUUAAGAUAAGAUUGUGUAUUAUUUGUAUGCCUUUUCGUCCAAAUUUCGUCUAGGUGGGGUCCAAAGGAUCGCAAUGACAGGUAUGUUAAGAUAAGAUUGUGUAUAUAUGUUUGUAUGCCUUUUUGUCCAAAUUUCCUCUAGGUGGCGUCCGGAGGAUCGCAAGGACAGGUAUGUUAAGAUAAGAUUGUGUAUUAUUCGUAUGCCUUUUCAUCCAAAUUUCCUCUAGGUGGCGUCCAAAGGAUCGCAAGGACAGGUAUGUUAAGAUAAGAUUGUGUAUUAUUUGUAUGCCUUUUUGUCCAAAUUUCCUCUAGGUGGGGUCCAAAGGAUCGCAAGGACAGGUAUGUUAAGAUAAGAUUGUGUAUUAUUUGUAUGCCUUUUCGUCCAAAUUUCUUCUAGGUGGCGUCCAAAGGAUCGCAAGGACAGGUAUGUUAAGAUAAGAUUGUGUAUAUGUUUUAAUGCCUUUUUGUCCAAAUUUCCUCUAGGUGGCGUCCAAAGGAUCUCAAGGACAGGUAUGUUAAGAUAAGAUUGUGUAUUAUUUGUAUGCCUUUUGGUCCAAAUUUCCUCUAGGUGGCGUCCAAAGGAUCACAAGGACAGGUAUGUUAAGAUAAGAUUGUGUAUUAUUUGUAUGCCUUUUUUGUCCAAAUUUCCUGCAGGUGGCGUCCAAAGGAUCUCAAGGACAGGUAUGUUAAGAUAAGAUUGUGUAUUAUUUGUAUGCCUUUUCGUCCAAAUUUCCUCUAGGUGGCGUCCAAAGGAUCGCAAGGACAGGUAUGUUAAGAUAAGAUUGUGUAUAUGUUUUAAUGCCUUUUUGUCCAAAUUUCCUCUAGGUGGCGUCCAAAGGAUCUCAAGGACAGGUAUGUUAAGAUAAGAUUGUGUAUUAUUUGUAUGCCUUUUCGUCCAAAUUUCCUCUAGGUGGCGUCCAAAGGAUCGCAAGGACAGGUAUGUUAAGAUAAGAUUGUGUAUUAUUUGUAUGCCUUUUCGUCCAAAUUUCCUCUAGGUGGCAUCCAAAGGAUCACAAGGACAGGUAUGUUAAGAUAAGAUUGUGUAUUAUUUGUAUGCCUUUUUGUCCAAAUUUCCUCUAGGUGGGGUCCAAAGGAUCGCAAGGACAGGUAUGUUAAGAUAAGAUUGCAUAUUAUUUGUAUGCCUUUUCGUCCAAAUUUCCUCUAGGUGGCGUCCAAAGGAUCGCAAGGACAGGUAUGUUAAGAUAAGAUUGUGUAUUAUUUGUAUGCCUUUUCGUCCAAAUUUCGUCUAGGUGGGGUCCAAAGGAUCGCAAGGACAGGUAUGUUAAGAUAAGAUUGUGUAUAUAUGUUUGUAUGCCUUUUUGUCCAAAUUUCCUCUAGGUGGCGUCCAAAGGAUCGCAAGGACAGGUAUGUUAAGAUAAGAUUGUGUAUUAUUUGUAUGCCUUUUCGUCCAAAUUUCCUCUAGGUGGCGUCCAAAGGAUCGCAAGGACAGGUAUGUUAAGAUAAGAUUGUUUAUUAUUUGUAUGCCUUUUUGUCCAAAUUUCCUCUAGGUGGCGUCCAAAGGAUCGCAAGGACAGGUAUGUUAAGAUAAGAUUGUGUAUUAUUUGUAUGCCUUUUUGUCCAAAUUUCCUCUAGGUGGGGUCCAAAGGAUCAAAAGGACAGUUAUGUUAAGAUAAGAUUGUGUAUUAUUUGUAUGCGUUUUCGUCCAAAUUUCCUCUAGGUGGCGUCCAAAGGAUAGCAAGGACAGGUAUGUUAAGAUAAGAUUGUGUAUUAUUUGUAUGCCUUUUCGUCCAAAUUUCCUCUAGGUGGCGUCCAAAGGAUCGCAAGGACAGGUAUGUUAAGAUAAGAUUGUGUAUUAUUUGUAUGCCUUUUCUUCCAAAUUUCCUCUAGGUGGCGUCCAAUGGAUCGCAAGGACAGGUAUGUUAAGAUAAGAUUGUGUAUUAUUUGUAUGCCUUUUCGUCUAAAUUUCCUCUAGGUCGGGUCCAAAUGAUCGCAAGGACAGGUAUGUUAAGAUAAGAUUGCGUAUUAUUUGUAUGCCUUUUCGUCCAAAUUUCCUCUAGGUGGCGUCCAAAGGAACGCAAGGACAGGUAUGUUAAGAUAAGAUUGUGUAUUAUUUGUAUGCCUUUUCGUCCAAAUUUCCUCUAGGUGAAGUCCAAAGGAUCGCAAGGACAGGCAUGUUAAGAUAAGAUUGUGUAGAUAUGUUUGUAUGCCUUUUUGUCCAAAUUACCUCUAGGUGGCGUCCAAAGGAUAGCAAGGACAGGUAUGUUAAGAUAAGAUUGUGUAUUAUUUGUAUGCCUUUUUGUGUAUAUGUUUUAAUGCCUUUUCGUCCAAAUUUCCUCUAGGUGGCGUCCAAAGGAUCGCAAGGACAGGUAUGUUAAGAUAAGAUUGUGUAUUAUUUGUAUGCCUUUUCGUCCAAAUUUCCUCUAGGUGGCGUCCAAAGGAUCGCAAGGACAGGUAUGUUAAGAUAAGAUUGUGUAUUAUUUGUAUGCCUUUUUGUCCAAAUUUCCUAAAGGUGGGGUCCAAAGGAUCACCAGGACAGGUAUGUUAAGAUAAGAUUGCGUAUUAUUUGUAUGCCUUUUCGUCCAAAUUUCCUCUAGGUGGCGUCCAAAGGAUCGCAAGGACAGGUAUGUUAAGAUAAGAAUGUGUAUUAUUUGUAUGCCUUUUCGUCCAAAUUUCCUCUAGGUGGGGUACAAAGGAUCACAAGGACAGGUAUGUUAAGAUAAGAUUGUGUAUAUAUGUUUGUAUGCCUUUUUGUCCAAAUUUCCUCUAGGUGGCGUCCAAAGGAUCGCAAGGACAGGUAUGUUAAGAUAAGAUUGUGUAUAUAUGUUUGUAUGCCUUUUUGUCCAAAUUUCCUCUAGGUGGCGUCCAAAGGAUCGCAAGGACAGGUAUGUUAAGAUAAGAUUGUGUAUUAUUUGUAUGCCUUUUCGUCCAAAUUUCCUCUAGGUGGGGUCAUAAGGAUCGCAAGGACAGGUAUGUUAAGAUAAGAUUGUGUAUAUAUGUUUGUAUGCCUUUUUGUCCAAAUUUCCUCUAGGUGGCGUCCAAAGGAUCGCAAGGACAGGUAUGUUAAGAUAAGAUUGUGUAUUAUUUGUAUGCCUUUUCGUUCAAAUUUCCUCUAGGUGGGGUCAUAAGGAUCGCAAGGACAGGUAUGUUAAGGUAAGAUUGUGUAUAUAUGUUUGUAUGCCUUUUUGUUCAAAUUUCCUCUAGGUGGCAUCCAAAGGAUCAAGAAGGACAGGUAUGCAUUUUGAAGACCAGAACAGAAGGUAUGUUAAGAUAAGAUUGUGUGGAUGUUUGUCUUAAUUAUUAAGAUGAUUUAAGUUUGUAUUACAGAUGGAGAAACCCAGAUGAAAGUUCAGUACUAGACCUGAAGGAAAAUUGUUUCAUUUUAUUUGCCAGAUAAUGAUGAUGCAAAAAGAGCAUAGACAAAGAAAAUUGUGUGAUUGACAAAGAUCUGGAAAGAAGCUUAAAGGUGGGACCAAGUGUCAGUCGAAAUGGCAGAUGAGUAGCACCUCGAUGGAAGAUGUUUACUUAGAUCUUCAACCAAGUACAAGGCUUUGCCAUGUAAUAUUAAACAGUGCCAAUAUUUUCAUGAAUGGGAGUAAGACUUGUGGUAUACGAUAUCUUAGAUACAAUUUUUGUUCCAGUGGCCAGCCAGUUCCAAGUGUCAGUCCAAAUGGCAGAUUAGAAGCAACUCAAAGGAAGAUGUUUACCUAGAUCUUCAACCAAGUCCGAGGCUUCGCCAUGUAAGCAAUCAAGCAGCAAGGAUAGCAGCUGGAAUGAAGAUUAAUUAUUACAUUGAUCUUCAACCAAGUCUGAGGCUUUGUCAUGAAAGAAAUAAUGCAAGUUAUAAAACAGUGCCAAUGUUUUCAUGAAGGGGAGUAAGACUUGUGGUAUAAGAUAUCUUAAAUACAAUUUUUGUUCCAGUAGCCAGCCAGUACCAAGUUUCAAUCCAGAUGGCAGAUGAGUAGCAACUCCAUGGAAGAUGUUUACUUAGAUCUUCAACCAAGUCCAAGGCUUCGCCAUGUAAGCAAUCAAGCAGCAAGGAUAGCAGCUGGAAUGAAGAUUAAGUAUUACAUGGAUCUUCAACCAAGUCUGAGGCUUUGUCAUGAAAGAAAUAAUGCAAGCUAGCAAUGAUUACUGCUUUUCAGUAUGGAUAGAGUUUUAGAAUGAUCAUUGGAGCAGACUUUUGAGGUUAGCAUUACAGCUUGUCCUUACAGAUUGAUGUUGGAAAUGGCUAUUAGAGUUGACUUUUAAAGAUAACAAUACUGUGGCUGAAGGAUAUAAUUGUGUGAUUAAUUCUCCAUACUCCUUAGAGAUGUUGUGAAGGUUGUUAAUAUGUUGACAGCUGGGCAUGCUCUCUUUGCAAGACAUCAGAUUUAAAAUCCCCAUUCUGACACUGAACAUGACUGCUGAUUUGUAUAUCCAGCACUACCAAACAGAUGCCUUACUUUUGCAAGGAUUUUACUGCCAAUCUGAAGAAGACCAAGAGUUACCAUAUGUUCCUUUGGGCUAUUUCUAACUCUACCAAACAGUUUCCAAUAUGAACGGUUCAUUUAAAUCUUGCAUUAAACAAGAGCAAGAAUGCAGUUGAUAAAUUCUAAAAUAACUAAUGUAAAGAUUCUCCAUUUUCAACAAGAGUGGAAGCGUUAGUUAAGGUUAAUGUAUUGUGUUUUUAACGUUCACCUAACUUUCUUUUUCUCCCUAAUCCAUUAAAUGCUAUGGAUAUUUGAAGUCCAUGGUUAAAGUUUCUCAAACAUCAAUAACCAUGUCAAACCUUCUUGGAAUUAUGUGAAAAAUUAAAAGCUUGAGCAUAAUUUAAUUCAAAGAUAGUAUCAAAAGCAAAACUUGGAAUUACAUUUUUUGUAUCUCACUUAUAAAUUGACUAUAGUUUUUCCUGACAGUCUUAAUGUACAAAAUUUAGACAUAAAAUUCUAUAACAUUAAGAGAAAAAACCAAAAGUAAUAUUUAAAAAUUUUCAGUAUUUUUCUGAAAGAUGAAGUUAGUUUUGUUUUGCAUUUGUGAUUUACCUUUAGCCUUUGGUUAUCCUCUUUAAGACACCAAUAACAGCUUAAAACCCUCCUUGGAAUGUUAACAUAAUUAUCUUUAUGAUUAAGAAAAAUUGUUUCAUUUUCAUUUCAUCCUUCCAUAUUUUAUAGGUAAAUUUAUUUGGGUUUUUACCACCAACUUUACACAGCAGUAACACAGACAAAUCUUUGGGGUUCUGCGUAAUCCUUUCAAACGUUUUUUAUUGCUGUUUUUACAAGUUGUGUAGUGUACAUGUGUUUAUUAUUUCUACUUGUAUCAUAUACAUGUUUUUUGAUACCAUAAGAAGAAAUUACAAAUAGAGAGUGAAAGAAGGUAUGAUGGUAAACUGGAUUAGGAUAUUAAAUAAAAUGUGUUUUUUGCAAAUUUGGACGACAAUUAGUUGCAAUUAUGUACUGUUUCAAAUAUAGAAGUAGUAUCGACUUGCAAAUCCGUACCAUUACAGCACUGGAAGUAGUAUGGUUGUCUGAGCGAAGCCAAUUGGAAGCAUGUACCUCUUAGUGAAGCUAAUUGGGAGCACACCCUCUGUCUUGUUGCGAAGCUGAUUGGAAGCAGUACAUAUAUACCUCUGUCUGCUAAAGCUAAUUAGAAGCAGUACCCCUGGCAGAGAGGUCCCAAUUAGAAGUACGUAACUCUGAGGGAAGCCAAUUGGAAGCAUGUACCUCUGCAAAAUUUGAUUAAAAAAUUACUCAACAAAUUUUAUUUAACAUUCUUUUUAAAGUUUACUUGCAUACCAACUCUCAUUUUCUAUUUAUAAUUACUUCCCUUGUUGACAUUGUGACUUGCAAAUUAUCACUUCACCAUUUAGUAGAUCAUUCUAAUAAAUAAUUACUACAACACACGAUCAAGUAUUGUUAUAAGGGUAAAAUAGUUUAUUAAUUUUAGUUUAUGCACCUUUAAAUGAUAACUAAACUUUCUGUAUCUUUUUGAAAGCUAAUGUUCCUCAAGAUCUAUAGGGAGAAUGAUAUAAAUUUGCUGUGAAGGGCAUAUGAUACAGUAACAGGGGAGGUAAUGACAUUGCUACUGUCAAAUGUUACUUUUAGCCAUGUCAAAUAGUUACAUAUCAGGAAAAAAAACAUGUUUUGACUGAUUUAACAUGAAAAUGAAUUAAUGGACCUCUUUUUUUUUUUAAAUACAUUAGGCUUGAAUAUGUUUAAAGAUGAUUUGUGCCGAUUUGAAGAAACCACCAAUGGAAUUGUUCUAAAUAAGAUAAAUAUACAGCUUAAAAUGGUGUGGGUUUUUACUAAAUUCAUGUAUAAAGAUCAUUUGUGCCUAUUAAAGACAUAACCAAUGAUAUAUUUUAAAUUAGAUAAAUAUGCAUCCAAAAUGAUUUUUUUUUUACUGAAAUCAUGAAAAUAUGUUGUUACACAAACUUAGUACACAUGUUCCCUAUGAUAUCAUCUUUCUAAUUUUAAUGCCUUAUAAUAUUUUUUCCCAUUUUCACGGUCCAUUGAACAUGGAAAAUGAUAGUGUGAGUGGGGCAUUCGUGUACUUUGGACACAUUCUUGUUAAUAUAGUGGAAACAGAUUAGUUGUUAUUUAGGUAUUUUGUAGCAUGAUGCCUCAUACCCGUAACCAGGGGGGUUCAUGGGGUUCGGACGAACCACCCCUUGAAAACAAAUAAGCACUGUUGAAGUCAAUGUUCUGUACGAAUUGUGACUGUUAAAGUUGAGUUUGUAAGUCCAACGAACCCCCCUUGGAAAUUCCUGGCUACGGGCCUGUGCCUUAUAAUUAAAUUUUGCUUGUGUUUGAAUUAUGGUUGGAAAUAACCUUCACUUUCUACCAUGCAGAGUGUCAAGUUUUAUGAUCAUGUAUUUUGUUUUGAAUAGUUCUCCUUUAUUAUAAGUGUCCAAAGUAAUCCUCUUGAGACAGUUCCUCCAAGCAAAUAGUUUCAAAACAUUUUCCCACUAUAUAUUGAUUUUAUCUGGUUUUAAAUACUUCAUUAAUUAUCAUUAUAAUGAUUUUCUUUAUGUGUAUAUAUUUAUGCUUAUGAGUUGUUAUAUUCAUGUAUAUUGUAUGUGUAAUAAUUCCCUAGUCAUAAAAGUAUAACAGGAUUUUUUUUAUUGCUUAUGUGUAAUACAUGUACAUGUAGGCAUAGGAAUUUUAGCACCAAAAUAUUUUAGUUGUAAAGUGACAUCUUUAUGUAUUUUAGUUCUAACUUGAACUUCGAACAUUGUAUUGUUAUGGAUGUUAAAAGAACAAAGAUUUGCAAAAUUUUGUAUUUUGAUAUUAAAUUAAUUUUUAUGUAGGUGGAAUGGCUAUUAUAUAUACAAACAUAAUCAUAUUUUAACUUUUGUACCAUAUAUUUUAUAGUUGUAGUCCUAAAGACAAGAUUUCAUUUUUACUUACAUUUACAAACAAAACAAAACAAUAUAUACGUCCGAGUAUGUCUCGUGAGACGACUUGUCGCAUUCAAAGGGUUGGAGCAUAUAUGACAGUUUCCAGACCCUUGGGUCGGACCCAGGUUUCCAGUUUCCCAUUAUUGGGUUUGUUUGGUUGUUCCUGGCCGGCGAGGUCGUUCAUGAUCGAGUUAUUCAUUUGUUCAGUUUACAUUCAUGUCAACCAUAUUAUAUCUUUUGUUCGUUCAAGGUUUACUUUACUAGCUAAGUUGUACCUAAUAGUAUAUUUCAAGGUUUUUGUUAUUAGGAGUAAUUGUGGUUAUUGUUUUUUUCAUAUAUUUAUAUAUUAAGACACAUGUAUGUAAUUAUUAAAUGAAUUCUGUUGUCCACUAUGAUUGCUGGGCUAUCAGCAACACUAUAUAUAUUGUAUUCAUUUAUGCCUUAUAAUAGAUAUGAGCGUAUAUAAUAGGGUAUACGUAGUUAUUCAAAUGCAAAAGGGUUGACAUGAGAUUAUUUCUCUAGUUCUGGUACAAACUAUUGAAUUCAUAUUGUAUAAUGUAUGUUUAUAUUGAUAAUUUGUCCUAUAUAAAAUGGCAGCUCACAAUAUGCUGUACUCGAGCUAGUCAAGAAACAUAA